rnacentral:tRNA from 3 species
GCCGGGGUGGUGAAAUUGGUAGACGCGUCGGACUCAAAAUCCGAUACUCGUGAGAGUGUGAGGGUUCGAUUCCCUCCCCCGGCA